GGUUUUCCUUCCCUCCUCUCCUUUCUUCAUGAGUUCCUUUGUGAGACACUUCUCAUAUCACUGUCUUUCAUUCAACUUUUAUGUCUUGUAAUCUACUUUUUCUAGUCAGUCUUCUACUUCCCUUCCCUCUGUCUUUCAUGUCACAUCCAGAAGGAUCAUCCCAGGCCAUCUUCGUGUCCCAGGCCUUCUGUGACCACUCCCUGCCUAGAAGACCUAUAUCUCCAGGGAUUCAAGAAGUCUCCCUCAAGCCCAUGAAUCCAUCAAGGAAGCUGUAUGUUCACAAGACUACAGAAAAGUGAGAAGUGUUAUAGACUUUUUGGAAUGAUCACUGACUGCAGUUUGGAGGACAGACUGGAGCAGUAGACAGGAGGGAGGACACCAGGACAAAGAAGUAUGUUUUAUGUGCAAAGGAGAAAGCAGAGAGAAUGAGGGCAGAGAAGGAAAAGGCAGUCUAGAGGCCAUCGCCUACCUCAGUUAAUGGCUGCUGAAUUCAGAAAAUGAUGAGAGAGGAGAGUCUAAAAUGGCCUCUCACUGUCUAGCUUAUAUUGUCCAUACUUGUAAUAAAAAAGAUCCUUCUAUAGACCUUCUAGUUCAGUUUUCAAACAUCCAGCAAUAAUCCAUUAGUGGGUUGUGAAAUAAACUUACUGAAUUGUGGC
rnacentral:lncRNA from 1 species